UUGGUAACCAUCAAAAGUAACAGCAUCUCCACUGGAAAUUGGCACACAGUCCACAUGGAGUUGCUGUUACACUUGAUAGCCCCAU
rnacentral:pre_miRNA from 1 species